rnacentral:rRNA from 1 species
GACGAACGCUGGCGGCGUGCCUAAUACAUGCAAGUCGAACGAAGCUGUUUUAACUGGUGCUUGCACCGACUUAAACAACUGAGUGGCGAACGGGUGAGUAACACGUGGGUAACCUGCCCCAAAGCGGGGGAUAACAUUUGGAAACAGAUGCUAAUACCGCAUAACCACAGAAACCACAUGGUUUCUGUGUCAAAGAUGGUUUCGGCUAUCACUUUGGGAUGGACCCGCGGCGUAUUAGCUAGUUGGUAAGGUAAUGGCUUACCAAGGCAAUGAGACGUAGCCGAACUGAGAGGUUGAGCGGUCACAUUGGGACUGAGACACGGCCCAAACUCCUACGGGAGGCAGCAGUAGGGAAUCUUCCACAAUGGACGAAAGUCUGAUGGAGCAACGCCGCGUGAGUGAAGAAGGUUUUCGGAUCGUAAAACUCUGUUGUCAGAGAAGAACGUGUGCGAGAGUAACUGCUCGUGCAGUGACGGUAUCUGGCCAGAAAGCCACGGCUAACUACGUGCCAGCCGCCGCAGUAA